CUAGAGAAAAAUAAUGAGGGGUGUCACGGGGUAUGACUAUAUAGGUCUUGUAGAGGAGAAACAGGCGCUUCUUUUGCGCAAGGUAUCGAAGGGCGCUAUGUUCAAAAAUCUGAAACUAGAGCCCAAAAUUUGAAAAAAAUGGUAAAAAAAUAGGGGGGUCGGCCUAUUCCAGGGCUCCUAGAGAAAAAUAAUGAGGGGUGUCACGGGGUAUGACUAUAUAGGUCUUGUAGAGGAGAAACAGGCGCUUC
rnacentral:lncRNA from 1 species